ACAGUGGACGCGAGCAUCUUUGUUGUAAGUAAUGAAGAGCGUACGGUGGAUGCCUUGGCACCAGGAGCCGAUGAAG
rnacentral:rRNA from 1 species